rnacentral:rRNA from 1 species
AACGAACGCUGGCGGCAUGCCUAACACAUGCAAGUCGAACGAGACCUUCGGGUCUAGUGGCGCACGGGUGCGUAACGCGUCGGAACCUGCCCUUAGGUUCGGAAUAACUCCCCGAAAGGGGUGCUAAUACCGGAUAAUGUCUUCGGACCAAAGAUUUAUCGCCUUUGGAUGGGCCCGCGUUGGAUUAGCUAGUUGGUAGGGUAAAAGCCUACCAAGGCGACGAUCCAUAGCUGGUCUGAGAGGAUGGUCAGCCACACUGGGACUGAGACACGGCCCAGACUCCUACGGGAGGCAGCAGUGGGGAAUAUUGGAAAAUGGGCGAAAGCCUGAUCCAGCAAUGCCGCGUGAGUGAUGAAGGCCGUAGGGUUGUAAAGCUCUUUUACCCGGGAUGAUAAUGACAGUACCGGGAGAAUAAGCUCCGGCUAACUCCGUG